UACGGGGGGGGCAAGCGUUGUUCGGAAUUACUGGGCGUAAAGGGCUCGUAGGCGGCCGCUUAAGUCAGACGUGAAAUCCCUCGGCUCAACCGGGGCACUGCGUCUGAGACUGAAUGGCUUGAGGUAUGGGAGAGGAGAGUGGAAUUCCUGGUGUAGCGGUGAAAUGCGUAGAUAUCAGGAAGAACACCGUGGCGAAGGCGGCUCUCUGGACCACAACUGACGCUGAGGCGCGAAAGCUGGGGGAGCAAACAGG
rnacentral:rRNA from 1 species